GCUAAAAGGCACAGGGCAAUAUGAGGGAUGUAAUAAUAGUAAUGGACAUACGGUGCUCACUAUGUGCCUCCGGAGCUCUAAGAUUUGCUAGUAACUUACUCAAUCCUCCCAUCUCUGAGGUAGCUGCUGUUGCGGAGCUGGAGGGUCCCUGUCUACCACCUCCAUCCUCUGCCCUCCUGCCCUCUGCUCUGUACUCCACAGGCUAGCUUUCAUGGAUGGCCUCAGCCUGGCUCCCUUGCCCUCUGGAUUCCAGUUAGGUUCAGCCACUGGGGGUUCCAGCAGGAGGCACCAACAUCCAGGAAUGGGCACAGUAAGGUCCGGCCUGCGCUGCAGCAGUGGGAGUGUCCCUCCACCGGAAGCCCCAGGGACCGUCGUGCAGCGUCUCCCACAGGCAAAGCCGCAGCAGCUUCCAUCCGGUGACACCCCGCGGCCAAGGAGGGGCAUCGGCUCCCUGAUGUUGCCAGCUCUGGGGUGCCUCCUUGCCCCCUUGUUAUUUUCCCUAAUUCUGCUCAAUUUGAUGAUGGCACUGAAUCCCUGAGAAGUUAGAUAAUACCAAGUACGUGGUGGAGCUGGGACUCAAACCAGGCCCACAGGCCAUCUGGUCCCAGAGCUGGGGUCCGCACUUCACUGCCGACAUAGUUUGUGAAGACAACCAAGAUGUGACCCAAGACUCCAAUUGGACUGCAAGGCUUCAGAGAGAGGUGGACAGAGGACAGGGUGGACAGGGAGGAAGACUGCCACAGGCUCCCAGGCCUGUUGCAGAGACAGCACAGAGUCCCUCCCUGUUGCUUGACAAUCUCUCUGCCUCCCUCUGAGGAUGAAGACAAUUCACACGGAUUCUAGUGAAGCUCUGGAUACAGAGGAAGCCAGGACUUGUAUUCUGUGUCUGAGUAACAUGUCACUCAGUUGGUAGAAAUAACUAAAGAAU